GCCGGGCUUGAUGGCUCGUGCCUGUAGUUUCAGCUACUUGAGAGGCGGAGGUAAGAGGAUUGCUUGAGCCCAGGAGUUUGAGAACAACCUGGGCAACAUAGCAAGAUCCUAUUUCUU
rnacentral:SRP_RNA from 1 species